CAUCUAUAAUGUCUAUUAUUGAUAUUUUUUUGAUCAUUGUCCAGUCCCUGUGAUCCUUGUCCAGUCCUUGUGGUCAUUGUCCAGUCCCUGUGAUCCUUGUCCAGUCCUUGGGAUCAUUGUCCAGUCCUUUGUAUCAUUGUCCAGUCCUUGUUAUCCUUGUCCAGUCGAUGUGAUCCUUGUCUAGUUGAGUUACUAUUGUAGUAUUUAUUUGAUCACUGUCCAGUCAAGUUGAUCCUUGUCCAGUCAAGAUGAUACCUAUCCAGCCAAGUUGAUCCCUCUCCAGUCAAGUUGAUACCUGUCCAGUCAAGUUGAUCAUUGACCAGUUUAUUUGAUCCCAGUCCAGUCAAACUGCUGUUAUAGCAUCUGUCAUCAGUAUUUAUUUGAUCCCUGUCCAGUCAAGUUGUUCCCUGUCCAGUCAAGGUGGUGUUUAUAUAGGUAAAUAAGUGUCCAGUCCAUUUGAUCUCUGUCAAGUCAUGGCUGUUAUUAUAGAGAUGCUUUAGAUGAUGCCACUUUCUUACUGAUAAAUUUAGCUGACCUCAGUUUUCAUCAAAUUAGAAAUAUGGAAGAUUGGAAUGAGAAACUCAUUGAAGCUGCUAAAAAUGGAAGAGUAGAAGAAUUGAAGCUUUGCCUAGCAAAUGGAGCAAACAUUGAUUUUAAAGU